UCCCACCCAACCCUCCUCACCAAGAAAGAGGUGAGGAAGGAAAUGGAGAGGCUGACCACGGAGCUGAAGCUAAUGACCAGUCAAAGAAAUGAGCUACGGGAUCACCUGAUCUUUGUCACUGAAGGAACCAUGGACAAUAGUCUCUACCACAAGCCAAAUUCUGUAAGAAACUGAAGUUGGAGCAUAAAGAGAUCAUGUCAAAAUUAAAGAGCUUGCAGAAUGAGAACACUGAGUCCUCAGAGAAGUUCAGUGAUCUGACCAAGGAGAGUCUUCUGUCGUGGUCUGCACAUCUGGCUCCUGAUGGAACAGACUCAGCUGGAGAAGAAGGUGGGCAUGCUGAGGCAGGAGAACAAGAAACUAAUGGAGGAUUGGAUCCUGCUGAAGCACCAUUCGAAGGACUUGAAAUUGAUCUGUAAGGACCAAGAGGAAGAGACCAGUGACCUCCAAACCCAGCAAUAACAGGUCCAGAAAGCUUUAGCCUGAGCUGGAACAGGCCACAGCCCAGGAUGAGGGCCCCUUGCAGAGGGAGGCUCUACAGCAAGAGCCACCUGCUGAGCCCCAUUCCCAGCAACUGCUGAAAUGUGGGAAUGAAGUUUCUUCUUCAGAUUUGGUUUCCAUUGUGGAAUAGGCCUUGAUUGUGCCUAGCCAGUGACCCAGCAUGGCUGCUUCUGAGUCUUGACUCCCUUUCCCUCUUGACAACACCUUUUGUGAGAACUGAGGAAGAAAAAGGAAGCCACAGACAACCAGAGAGCAUGGCAUUCACCACCCUUGGAUCUAGGCCUCCUCAGAAAACGACACCCUUUGUAGCUGUGAACUCAGAAGGAGGAAAAUCCCUUACCCUUGGGGAGAACAUGGCAUAUAAAGCCCCAAAGAGGAAUGGCUAUACUCCUCUUGAAAAUGCUGUUAUAAUUGGUGACUGUCUUCCUACCGUGUCUCCAAGGCCAGCCACAGGUGGUAGAUCUGUGCUGUUCACUCUGCAGUGAGAGAAUGCUGCUUAAUUUUAUUUGGGUUUUGGUUUAGGUUUUUGCUUUUCCUUGUUUUGGCUUUGGUUUUGUUAUUUUGAUGUUAUUUGCUCUUCUUGUUUUUCAUAAUUUGCUAAGGCUAUUCCCUGUUUAUACUGACUGCUCUUUUAGAGCCCCUUUUGAGGAAAAUUUAUUUUUUAUGAAUAAAAAAGCAAUUUCUAACUCUUCA